rnacentral:rRNA from 1 species
CCUACGGGAGGCAGCAGUGAGGAAUAUUGGUCAAUGGACGAGAGUCUGAACCAGCCAAGUAGCGUGAAGGAUGACUGCCCUAUGGGUUGUAAACUUCUUUUAUAUGGGAAUAAAACGUUCCACGUGUGGGAUUUUGUAUGUACCAUAUGAAUAAGGAUCGGCUAACUCCGUGCCAGCAGCCGCGGUAAUACGGAGGAUCCGAGCGUUAUCCGGAUUUAUUGGGUUUAAAGGGAGCGUAGGUGGAUUGUUAAGUCAGUUGUGAAAGUUUGCGGCUCAACCGUAAAAUUGCAGUUGAAACUGGCAGUCUUGAGUACAGUAGAGGUGGGCGGAAGUCGUGGUGUAGCGGUGAAAUGCUUAGAUAUCACGAAGAACUCCGAUGGCGAAGGCAGUUCACUGGACUGCAACUGACACUGAGGCUCGAAAGUGUGGGUAUCAAACAGGAUUAGAUACCCCUGUAGUC